rnacentral:lncRNA from 1 species
GACUGACAGGGCAUGAUUCCAGAUCACGAUUUCAGAAUGCAUCCUGGCCAGCAGGGAGCUGCCCGAGUUAUCCUCAGGAACACCUUGGCCUCCUGAGAAUCUGCCCAACCAAAAUUCCUGGGAGCAGGGCCAGACUCACUCAGGCGAUUUCUGGUCUUGCCGGGGAAUCAGUUUUGAGCCAGAACCUAUUCCAAGUUGGGAGGUG